AUGACUCACUACUGUAAGUCUCUCUGGAUAAGAGCGUCUGCUAAAUGACUCUCU
rfam:Salmo salar isolate Sally breed double haploid chromosome ssa09, whole genome shotgun sequence.